rnacentral:rRNA from 1 species
UAAGGAAUAUUGGUCAAUGGACGCAAGUCUGAACCAGCCAUGCCGCGUGAAGGAUGAAGGUCCUCUGGAUUGUAAACUUCUUUUAUCUGGGACGAAAACGGGAUUUUUAUCUCAAUUGACGGUACCAGAGGAAUAAGCACCGGCUAACUCCGUGCCAGCAGCCGCGGUAAUACGGAGGGUGCGAGCGUUAUCCGGAUUUACUGGGUUUAAAGGGUGCGUAGGUGGGCUUAUAAGUCAGUGGUGAAAUCUCCGAGCUUAACUUGGAAACUGCCGUUGAUACUAUAGGUCUUGAAUUAUCUGGAGGUAAACGGAAUAUGUCAUGUAGCGGUGAAAUGCUUAGAUAUGACAUAGAACACCAAUUGCGAAGGCAGCUUACUACAUAUAAAUUGACGCUGAGGCACGAAAGCGUGGGGAUCAAACA